GAACUUCUUACAGCAAUUCAAACAAAUUCAAAUGUUCUGAAAUCCCUCGAGUUCUG
rnacentral:other from 1 species